rnacentral:lncRNA from 1 species
CUCCACGCCCAUUUCUAGAAGUUUCUGUAUGCUCGUGCGGGGUUUGUGUAAAGCCCUUCUGUUUGAGUGAGAUCUGAAUUGCUAUUGUGAUGAUGCAGAGUUGGUGUCUAUUUCUCCAUGGAGAUUUGAGUUUCCUCUUUUUGUUUAUUCUGUGUGUGGUGUUAGUACGAUGGUCUAUUUGCAAGAUGGCUGUAUGGAUAACUCAACUUUGUUUAUUCUGUGAGGGCUUGCUUGGUACCAAAUGUUAUGUGCUUCAUUGUGCAGUGCUGAUUUUGCAGCACUGAUAGAACUUACAACAGUAUUGCAUUGUAGUGUUUUCUGCAUGUUGUCGUAUCACUAGUUCCAUGCUACCUUCACAUUUAAGUCUAUUAGUUGUUUUUGUUUUUAUCCUUGAUUAGUAUCAAAUGUUGUAUUGUAGACUUAAAAUUGUUGUGGUUCCUCUUUUACGGAAGCUCAUGUGUGAAGUCGUGAAGUGUGAAGCAAGUGUGAAGCUGUGAAGUGUGAAGCCAAGUCUGAAGCUGUGAAGUCCAACUCAUUGUAGCAUAUCUGUGUUGUAAAGAUUGUAAUAGAUUUAUUUAGUGGUAUAUUUGAUGAAUUUUAUGUGUUAUUUGUUCUAUUUGAAAUAUUGAUUAUGUAUGUGAUUUGAAAACUUGUGAAAUGGAAACCUGUCCAGUGGGGCCACUUAUGAAAAUAAU